rnacentral:rRNA from 1 species
UACGAAGGGUGCUAGCGUUGUUCGGAAUCACUGGGCGUAAAGCGCGCGUAGGCGGCUAUUCAAGUCAGGGGUGAAAUCCCACGGCUCAACCGUGGAAUUGCCCUUGAAACUGGGUAGCUGGAGUAUUGGAGGGGAUAGCGGAAUUGCUAAUGUAGAGGUGAAAUUCGUAGAUAUUAGCAGGAACACCGGUGGCGAAGGCGGCUAUCUGGACAAUUACUGACGCUGAAGUGCGAAAGCGUGGGGAUCAAACAGG